rnacentral:rRNA from 1 species
GUUUGAUCAUGGCUCAGAACGAACGCUGGCGGCGUGCCUCAUACAUGCAAGUCGAGCGAGAAAAUUGCCUUCGGGUGAUGAGUAAAGCGGCGAACGGGUGCGUAACACGUGAGUAAUUUGCCCUAAAGUGGGGGAUAAGCUCCCGAAAGGGGGUCUAAUACCGCAUAAUUUCCCUGGAUGGCAUCAUUUGGGGAGCAAAGGUGGCCUCUACUUGUAAGCUAUCGCUUUAGGAUGAGCUCGCGCUUCAUUAGCCAGUUGGUGGGGUAACGGCCUACCAAAGCUACGAUGAAUAGCCGGCCUGAGAGGGUGUCCGGCCACACUGGGACUGAGAUACGGCCCAGACUCCUACGGGAGGCAGCAGUAGGGAAUAUUGGGCAAUGGGCGAAAGCCUGACCCAGCAACGCCGUGUGUGGGAUGAAGCUUCUUGGAGUGUAAACCACUGUCAGAGGGGACGAAUGAUUACGGCAAUAAUAAGUUCGUAGUUUGACUGUACCUUCAGAGGAAGCUCCGGCUAACUCCGUGCCAGCAGCCGCGGUAAUACGGGGGGAGCAAGCGUUGUUCGGAAUCACUGGGCGUAAAGGGUGCGCAGGUGGGAGAUUAAGUUGAAUGUGAAAACCCCGGGCUUAACCCGGGGCCUGCAUUCGAAACUGAUUUUCUUGAGUAUCGGAGAGGAAAGCGGAACUCCAGGUGUAGCGGUGAAAUGCGUAGAUAUCUGGAGGAACACCGGUGGCGAAGGCGGCUUUCUGGCCGAAUACUGACACUCAUGCACGAAGGCUAAAGGGAGCAAACAGGAUUAGAUACCCUGGUAGUCUUAGCGGUAAACUAUGGGCACUAGGUGUCGGGGGGAUCGACCCCCUCGGUGCCGACGUUAACACAUUAA